rnacentral:rRNA from 1 species
UACAGAGGGUGCAAGCGUUGAUCGGAAUUACUGGGCGUAAAGAGCGCGCAGGCGGUCGUUCAAGUCGCGUGUGAAAGCCCCCGGCUCAACUGGGGAGGGUCACGCGAUACUGAUCGACUCGAAGGCAGGAGAGGGUAGUGGAAUUCCCGGUGUAGUGGUGAAAUGCGUAGAUAUCGGGAGGAACACCAGUGGCGAAGGCGACUACCUGGCCUGUUCUUGACGCUGAGGCGCGAAAGCUAGGGGAGCAAACGGG